UAAUAGCGUAUAUUAAAGUUGUUGCAGUUAAAAAGCUCGUAGUUGGACUUUUGGGGGAUGCUCACGGUCCGGUGGAUUCUGUCCGCUGUGUACUGUAUUCGUCCUUCUUCUGUUCGGUGGCUGUCUUGUCUCUUCACUGAGGCAGUUCAGAAACUGGACCGAUUACCUUGAGGAAAUUGGAGUGUUUAAAGCAAGCGUUCGCUAUUGAACAUGUUAGCAUGGAAUAAUAAAAUAAGACUUUGGUCUUAUUUUGUUGGUUUCUAGGACCAAAGUAAUGAUUAAUAGGGACAGCUGGGGGCAUUAGUAUUUGGCGGUCAGAGGUGAAAUUCUUAGAUUCGCCAAAGACUAACUACUGCGAAAGCAUUUGCCAUGGAUGUUCUCAUUAA
rnacentral:rRNA from 1 species